rnacentral:rRNA from 1 species
GACGUAGGGCGCGAGCGUUGUCCGGAUUUAUUGGGCGUAAAGAGCUUGUAGGCGGUUUGUCGCGUCUGCUGUGAAAUUUCGGGGCUCAACCCCGAACUUGCAGUGGGUACGGGCAGACUAGAGUGUGGUAGGGGAGACUGGAAUUCCUGGUGUAGCGGUGAAAUGCGCAGAUAUCAGGAAGAACACCCGUGGCUAAGGCGGCUCUCUAGUACGGUACUGACGCUGAGACGCGAAAGCGUGGGGAGCGAACAGG